AUGAUUGAUAUUGAAUUAAUUGAUAGAUUACAUAAGCUUGUUGAAAAGUUUGACAUAGAAAAACUAGGAAGUAAAAAAAAUAAAAUAAAAAAAAAAAAUACAUAUAAAGAUAAUGAAGAUGUAUUUAAACAUAAAUUAACAAAAAGAAUUAGUGGCAGUAAUCGAUCUUUUUAUUUUCCAUUAAGAAAAUAUUUUAACAAAACAGAUCCACUUAUAAUGAAAAACAAAAAAUUAAAAAGAAAAUUAUUACAUAGCUCAAGUAGUAAUUUAAAAAAUUUAAAUAAAUAUACACAUUAUGAAAAUGCAGGAUUAUUACAUAGGAAUACAUUAAAAAAUAAUUUUUAUGACAAUUAUUCAAAUAGUCAUAAUAAAAAACAAAUAAAAAGUCAGUUUUAUAAUGAUAGUAAUAAUCUUUUAGUAACAGAUUUUUAUAUGUAUUCAACUUUAAAUGCAAGUUUUAAUCGAUUUAACUCUAUGAAAAAGCAUAAUAAUUUUGGUAUUGUUCAUCAAAACAAUCUAAACAAUACAUGGGAUAGUGACAAUGUAAUUACUAAUAGUAAUACUGCUUAUGGACACAACUAUAACAAAAAUAAUGAUUACUAUAAUACCAACUAUAAAUAUAGUAGUGGUAAUUAUAACAAUUACACAAAUAACUACAUGAGAAGUAACUACAGUUAUGACAAUAAUAUUUAUAACGAUAAUUUUAAAAAAGGAUUAUAUAAUAUAAAUAAUUGGAAAUCUAAAAAAAAAAAGAUUUGGAAUAAUUAUAAUUUUGAUAAAAAUAUAAAAAGUAAUAAUUUUCAGAAUACACAAUAUACAUUAAAUUAUAAUAACAAUAACAGUAGUAUGAUUUUAAACAAUUAUAUGUCGUCUCAAUAUACGGGAGGAGAAUGUGGAGAUUUCAUUUAUGAAUUACAAACACCCAAAAAAAUGUUAACAUUAGAAAAACGUCUUAUGAAAAAUAUGUAUAACAAAAAAAAAGUUAAAAAGUUUGUAAAAGAUGAGAAAAUAAGAGACCUUCUAAGGACAGCAGAAAAUGAAAAUGAGUUAAUAAAAGCUAUUAAUUUUGCAAAACAUGCGGGUCUUUAUUUUGAAGCAGCCUUAGGCGAUAAAAAGUUGAACAGGUUGAAGGUGGUGGCUUAA
rnacentral:lncRNA from 1 species